UUGCACCAAGCCUGGAAUUGGCUGGAUUUGGUUGUUUGUCACCAAUCUAAUGGCUGGUGAGCUUGGCAGGGAGUCCUGGAGGCAUCCUAUAAUGCCUGUCCGCAUGGGAUCCUGCUCCCCAGAUAUUUUUGAGCAUGGCUCUGUACCUAAAGGAAACAUCCGAGUCUGAGGCAGCCUCGUGCUCUGGUAUUGCUUCAUCUCUUUUCCUAAGGGCUGGUGUGGCAGAGGAGCGAAAGAGCUCAGCAGCUCCAGAGCAGCUAUUCAUUUCCUCUCGUUAAUUAGGUGAUACACUCCCUCCCCAUCUCCCUCCUUCUCUCCGGGCAUUGGUUUAAACCCCACGAAACCACUGAAGGGAACUGAACUCCAGCUCCCUCUUCAUGCACCCGGGGCAGCGCAGGGGGGCUGGAAGGUGUCCCCACCUGGAGCUGGGGGCAUGCCGGGGGUGAGCCUGCCCUGCCUGGAAAUGCCCCCGGCGUGGCCCUUCCCCAGGGAGGUGUCUGUGCUCGGGGCACUUUGUCCGGCGGGCUCACGGCGAUCCGGAGCCGUUCAUCAGUCCUGAUGCAUAUUUAAUGCUGAAACGCCCCGUAUGCUGAGAGGGUGCAAGGAGCAGAGCACCCCACAGGAUGCCCGUGCAGAGGAUGUGUUUGCACGGAUAAACAGCCGCCCUUGGAGUGCUCCCGUCCAAGAAAACAGGUGGGCUAGAGGAGACCGGGACGGCCCCAGGCAGGCUCUGUUGCCACAGGAGAAUGCAGCAGAUUUCACCUCGAAAGCGGCUGUUUGAACAGAGGAGUGCUGCACAGCUCGGAAGUGCUUAUGUCUGGAGAGUGGAUGUUUACACAGGGGAGUAGCGCAUCUGCCUUGCUAUUAGAGCACAAAACAAAUGUUUGCCCAGAGAGCAGUGUGAGGUGGAAGGACAAGUCCGAGUGACCUUGCGUGCAGGAGGUACCCAGCUUUCUAAUUGCCAAGCAGGCAGAGCGUGUCCUGGUCUCCCUCCUGAUGCCACAGGGAGGGAAGCAGCCCGGGAUGCCCCGAGCCCCCGGCGCGCAGCGGGACCGGCCUCAGUGCUGAUGGGGACGGGAUGAAUUCAGCCCCUGCUGGCACCGAGGGAGGGACAGGAGCACCGAUCCAGGCUGGAGGCUGGGCAAACAGAGACACUGAUCACUGGAGAGUUUUACAGGGAUAAUAAAGCACAUCAUAAUAAAUGGCCAUGAAUAUUUCAUGGCAGGAGUAGCGCUGAUAUGAUGUAUCAUAGAGGAGCAACGAGGUUUUUCAACAUUUGGAUGCAAAUGGAGAGCGUGCUCCAUAUUUUACAGGUUUCUCCCCAGACACGCUAUGUUUUCUGAAAAUCAGAUUGACUGGGAGCUUUUGAUAUGAGAAACAACACCAGGGCUCUGAUUAGUUUGAAAACAACAGCAACAGGAACGAAACCCAAGCAGUAUCAGAGGAUUGUCAGUGCUAGGGAUGAAGAAGUCCCACGCAGAUGAAGCAGCCCCUGUCCCUGAACACCAGGGGACAGCAGGUGGGAAUCACUGAGGGGAAAUCAGCUGCAGCGCUGUUUGGAGCAGCAUGUGGGAGCAGAAUAUAUCCCUAUAGCAGCACCCCCUCCCUGUCGGGACCCUGAAAUGGUGGGUGGCUGCGGCACGGCACUGGUACCUGGGAGAGGAGGCAGAUGCCAGGGACCAAGUUCUUUUUCCUCAUUUACUCCUCACUGGCAAAUAUUGGGCUUGCUUAGGAUCAGCCUGGGGCAGACAGUGAAGAAACCUCCUUCCUGGAGGGAAACAGCUGGGUUUUUGCGUUUCACCUGACCUCACA